CACUAAUAUUAUAAAUGCGAAAGUGUGUCUUGUUUGUUUGUCGGUAUGUCAUUCAAUGACGCCGCAACAGAACAUUAAUUGGCGUGAUUUUUGGCACGGAUAUAAUUAAAGACCUGGACAUGACAUA